rnacentral:tRNA from 1 species
GAUUCCGUGGUGAAAUUCACAUCAAAUUGCAAAUUUGAAGAUACAUUUUUAUUAGUGUCGGGGUUU